rnacentral:rRNA from 1 species
UACGAAGGGGGCUAGCGUUGCUCGGAAUCACUGGGCGUAAAGGGUGCGUAGGCGGGUCUUUAAGUCAGGGGUGAAAUCCUGGAGCUCAACUCCAGAACUGCCUUUGAUACUGAGGAUCUUGAGUUCGGGAGAGUGAGUGGAACUGCGAGUGUAGAGGUGAAAUUCGUAGAUAUUCGCAAGAACACCAGUGGCGAAGGCGGCCUGCUGGGCAGUUGCUGACACUGAGGCGCGACAGCGUGGGAGCAACAGG